CACGGGGGGAGCAAGCGUUGUUCGGAAUCACUGGGCGUAAAGGGCGUGUAGGCGGUCAAGUAAGUGGAAUGUGAAAGCCCCCGGCUUACCCGGGGAUCUGCAUCCCAAACUGCUUGGCUUGAGUACGGGAGAGGAUAGGGGAAUUCCUGGUGUAGCGGUGAAAUGCGUAGAUAUCGACCGGAACGCCGGUGGCGAAGGCGAGGUGCUGGACCCUUUCUGACGCUGAGGCGCGAAAGCCAGGGGAGCAAACGGG
rnacentral:rRNA from 1 species